rnacentral:lncRNA from 1 species
CUGGAAUUUAGAGACCCAGCAUGUGAGUUCACUUGUAAAAAUUCUGACCAGAAUUCAGGGGUGAACACCAGUAAUUCUAAGGGCAUGGUUCCCAGCUCUCAAGGUGGGGUAGCACAUUCAGUCUCAUGAACAGAUAGACCUUUAGGAAUGAAGUCUUAUUUUUUUCCAGCUCUGUGGCACCAUCAUAAACAUAACUGAAUGCUCAGUAUCACCCAGCUCAAUUCACAAAGUAACUUAAUGAAUUCACUCCUCCUAUGUUCUGUGCACCCAGCAGAGUAGGAUCUCAGCUACAGUAGUGGAAAACUUGAGCUGUCCAUAACUAGCCUUUGAAACCUUCAAGUGAUCCUUCUCUCUGGUCCUAUUGUUGCCUGUAGCUUGAUUUGUUAGGACACUUGAUUUGUUGGGCUGAUGAGAAAUAGCAUAGGGUACUUCACAGUAGUUCUCAUUAAAAGAGGGCAGCCAAGUGGAAUUCAUUCUUGGCUCUUAAUAGUUUUCAAAUGAGAAUUUUAUUGCAUAUUAAUGAGCACUAAUUGACAUUUGUGACUGGUUUUUAUGGAAAUCAUGCAUGUACAAUUUGCAUAAUAGUACCUAAGUGCUUUUAGGUAAAUCUGAAAAGUUAGUGGUGGUUUGUCUAUGGUGCUGCUUUUCUUUUUUUUUUUUUUCAAUUCUCAAACCUAGCGCCCUGGAAUAGUGUAGAAUAUUAACAAGUCCCUGGGAUGCAAAUAUAAGGCAGUAGGGACUCAUGGCCCAGUUUAUGUGGUUGUGCCAGUUUCUAUCAGAGAGUCAGAAAAAUGCAUCAGGGCAAGUCUCUGAAAGCAGGAGAUAUACCCACAAGUAGACAGGGAAAUGUUCCAGCCCUUACUUUACCCUCAUGAGUCAACUUUCCUGCUUCUCCUAGGUUAGAGUAGCAUUCAGUUAGUCUUGAGGAUUGUUCCUAGAACUUUAUAAUAUAUAAUUUUUACUUAACAUCUGGGUCAUGUCAACAAAACAUAUUUAUCACCUACUAUGCAUGAGGCCUCAUGCCAGGUGCUAGAGCAAGACCAUGCCAACUUGUUGCUGGCUAUAAUCUUGGCUGUUAACUCUAUUAUUACCAGUUAACAGUUAUCAAUCAAUGUUUUUUUUUUUUGGAUUAAUAAAUAAUCUAUGAUUUGUUAUUCUUACAAAACCUGAUUUUAAAUGCAACAUAAAGAUGGUUAUACUUUAUGUUAGAAGAAACAUUAAUUAUUCAGAACUUGAUAUUAUGUUAGGAAUAACUUUGGUUAUAUGUUCCAAAUCUCCUGUGUAAAUGAGCCCUGUAAAUUGUGAGAAUGAGAGAAACUAUUUAUUGACAAUUCAGUAUGUAUCAGUUAUUUUUAUAUGCAUCCAGUUAAAUAACUGUAGAGCAAAGGGAUAAGUCAAGAUUUAGCAAAAGAAAAGUUACAAGUGGAGUGAAACUAAAAGGUUGAGUGUAGCAUUCUAUAGUGUGGAGCAAAAACAUCCUCCAGAUUGCGACAAGAUCGCUGUGAGCUGGGAAGGAGGAGUCCCUAAGCCCCAGAGUCCCCAAGCUUUCUCUGAGACCAUAGCAGACUGAAAGAGUGAAUCAGAUCCACUCCCCUCACCCGCCUGCCUGGGGCCACACAGUGACUCCCUGCAGCUUGUAAAAUCCCUCAAGAAGGGUGUGUGUUGGGAGCAGCCAUCUCACCUCCCUUGCUUCUUCCUCAGUCAGAAUUCCCUGUACAAACCCUGUUCCAGGGUCCUGGUUCAUAUGAGGCAAGCGCUCUACCGACUGAGCUAUAUCCCCAGCCCCUUGGGAUAACUAUUCAGACAUCAGGAAAGUAUGUGUAGAACUGUUAUGUUCCCCUCUUUCUUUUUUUUAAAUAUUUUUUUAGUUAUAUAUGGACACAGUGUCUUUAUUUUGUUUAUUUAUUUGUAUGUGGUGCUGGGGAUCAAACCCAGUGCCGCACAUGUUCGAGGCAAGCACCUACCACUGAGCUACAGCCCCAGCCCAUGUUACCCUCUUUGACGAGGCAAUCUGAGGUGGGGUUUUGUUUGUUUUUGUUUUGUUGUCUUGGUUUUGUGGUACUGGAGAUUGAGCCCUGGGGUUCUUUACCACUGAGCUAUACCUCCACCCCUUUUUAUUUUAUUUUGAGACAGGGUCUCACUGAGUUUCCCAGGCUGACCAUGAGCUUGCCAUCCUCCUUUCUCAGCCUCCCAAGGAGCUGUGAUUACAGGUGUGCCUGGUUAAAUUUGAGUUUUUGAGGAACAAAUUAAUUCAGUUCACUUUAUAUUGUUGGGGAAAAACAUACAAGUUACAACAUUUAUAUGUUCCUAAGAAAUUUUGUUUUAUUGUCCACUGUGUAUCUUCUCCUUUGGGGCCUGCUCCACAAACUUCUAAACACAGUCCUAGAAUUGUUACCCCUCUCACCUGCCUGCUUCAGUGGCCCCCAUUGGUCCAAGACCCACUUUCCUUCCUUCUGGUUACCACCCUGACCCGGCUACCCUCUAAACACACACACACACACACACACACAAAACACACACACACACAACACACACACACACACAGUUUCCAUCUUCCCAUCCCCAAGUACUGACCUCUAAACCCUGCUAUCCCAAACAUGCAUCUUCUCCUUUAAAGGUCCUUUAAAAUAGUGUAAAAAGAACACUAAACUUGGAAGAUCUGGACUCUGUUCCUGCAAUCAUGUGACUCUGAGUCUCUCCCUUAACCUCUGUGGGACUCAGUUUCUUCACCAGCAAAAUGAAGAGAUUGGACUUUGUGAUAUCUAAAAUCUCUUUGUGAUGUCCAAAAUCACCUCUAGCUCCAAUAUUCUGUGCUUCUUCAUUUACUUUCCCUGAACGAACUUUUUGUUCUUAUAUAUGCAACACUUUCCCAGCAUCAUUUCAUGCUCAUUUCUUCUUAGAAAGCGUUUGCAUCUGUGGGCUAUGUUCUGUGUUGAGAAUCUGUGUGGCAGAUUCUGUGGCAGAUUUUGGGGGGAAGUUUAAACCCCCUCUACCCUACUCACACUUACUGGCUGUCCCCAUGAGAAGCUAUGUGUAUGAUCAGGGAACGGAAAUGAAAUUUACUAUUAGCAUGAUUGACCAAUAUUCAGGAUUUUUAUAAAUCCAUUACAGAAAUAUAACACAAUGCAUUCAAAUGCAAUUAAAAUGCAUUUUUAUAUUCCCCACUAUUUAUAGUUAACCAUGUAAUUGCUGCCAACACUAACAUAGUGAAUUAAGUCCUAAUAUUUCAGAAAAUAUUGGUGCCGGAAUAAGAAUUUGGAGAAAAAGGGACCCUUAUACACUGAUGAUGGAAUGUAAGUUAGUACAACCACUAUGGAAAACAGUAUGGAGGUUCCUCAAAUAUUAAGAACAGAAAUAGAACUACUAUAUGAUAGUAGUUCUUAUUAUGUUAGGUGAUUCUAGAAUAUAUGAAGUAAAGCACUGGAGUGGGGUGGGGGUGAAUUGGCCCUGGGGCCCCUGAAAUGCCAAAAAUAGAACUACCAUAUGAUCCAGCCAUACCAUUUGUGUGUACAUAUCUGAAAGAAAUUAAGUCAGCGUAUGCUGCAUGCCUAUCCAUGUUUAUUGCAGAACUAUUCGCAAUAGGUAAGACAUGGAAUCAUCCAGUGCCCAUCAACAGAUGAAUCUAUAAAGAAAAUAUGAUUUAUAUACACAGAGGAGUAUUAUUCAGUGAUAAAAAAUGAAAUCAUGUCAUUUUCAGGAAAAUGGAUGGAAUGGGACUACAUCAUGUUAAACAAAAUAAGCCAAGUAUGGCAUAUUUUCUCUUAUAUGAAGAAAUUGGAUGAGGUAAAUGACCUGAAAAUAGAAGAGGAAUUGAAUAGGGGAAGGAGGUUAUGGGGAGACGGAGACAAAGGAGGGCAGGUGAGGGUAGAGGGAGUGUAGAUAAGAUCAAAGCAGGAUAUAUGCAUGUCUUAGGGAAUUCUUUAAUUUAUAAUCAAUAUGUGCUAAUAACUACAAUUUUAGAAAUUACUGGUGCCAGAGAAAAUAUAUUAAACAUCUAGUUGAAUACCAUCAUUGUUGGUUUGAAUGUAUGCAUUUUAGCAUAAAUUUGCAUGUAGGUUUGUAUUACCUCUUUUAAGAGUAACCUAAGAUUGAGAGAUUUCAAAUAAUAUAUCUAGCUGGGCACGGUGGUGCACGCCUGUGCCUGUGAUUCCAGCAGCUUAGGAGCCUGAGGCAAGAGGAUCUUGAGUUCAAAGCCGGGCUCAGCAACUUAGUAAGGCCCUAAGCAACUCAGCGAGACCCUGUCUCAAAAUAAAGUAUAAAAAAUGGCUGGGGAUGUGGCUAAGUGGUUAAGCACCCCUGGGUUCAACCCCGGUACCAAAAAAAAUCAAAUAAUAUAUCUAUUUGUUCCCACUGGGCAUAAAAAUCCCUAUUACUCCAAUUGUCCCUUCUUCUGUUUUUAGUAUUAAACAUUCAGUGCAGCUGGGCAUGGUGACUCCUGUCUAUAAUCCCAGCUACUCCAAAGAAAGAGGCUGAAGGAUUGCAAGUUCAAGACCAGCCUGGGCAACUUAAUAAAACUCUGUCUCAAAAUGAAAUGAAAAGGGCCAGGGGUAUAGCUCCAUGAUAGAGCACUUGCCUAGCAUGUACAAGGCCCUGGAUUCAAUCUCCAAAAGAAAAAGAGAGAAGUGGGAUGAAAGACAGGUAAGUAAAUCAGGACAAAAGAAAAAAUAGUCAUAGGAUAAUAAAAUGAGCCCGAGAUACCUAAGAUUGUGCAGCUUUUAUAAGUGAGCCACAUAUUUUAUUCUGAGGAGGGGGUUGGGGAGGGAAAAUAUAAUACUAUUCCUAACAUAAAAAUGUAUUUGGAUACCUGUGUAUUUGAGAAGAAGAAAAAUUUAUACCAUGAGUUCUCAUGAAGGAAUCACUAAGUUAAUACUGUAGCCUCCACUCUUAACAAUAUCCUAUUAAUUCCUACAAUGCUAAAUUCAAAAUAAGCAUUUAGUGAGUGCUUACUUCGUAUGUAUGUUUCAGUGCCUUGCAGUAAUUUUUUUUUGAUGCUCAAACUAUCCUAUUGUUGGCCAGUGGGAACCAAUUAAAUGGACUCCUGUAUCCUUUUGAUGUGAUUCUGCAGUUUCUGAUGCCUUUUUUUUACCUAGUGACAAAAUACUCCAGACUCAUCUUGUGUGUAUCUGCUCAUAACUCAAAGUGGCUGUUUUGAAAAUUGAUUUUUUUUUUUUUUAGUGAAAAGCGGUCUUAAAGAACACAAUCUGGGGGCUGGGGUUGUGGCUCAGUGGUAGAGCGCUAGCCUCUCAUGUGUGGGACCCUGGGUUCGUUCGAUCCUCAGCACCACAUAAAAAUGAAUAAGUAAAGUAAAGGUAUUAUGUCCAACUACAACUAAAAAAAUAAAUAUUUAAAAAAAAAAGAACACAAUCUGGGCAGGUUGGAAUGUUCAUUGUUUCUGGGUUGUCAUUACUUUCAAGAUUCAGUGAACAGAUUGAGAAAUAUUAAUAUCUUAGAGAAAUAUAAAUCUUAAGUCCAUAUUGAUAUUUAAUAUUUAAAUAAAAGUUUUAAAGGCUUUUACUCAACUUACUUUUUUAGUUGUAGAUGAACACAAUAACUUUAUUUUGUUUAUUUAUUUUUAUGUGGUGCUGAGGAUAGAUCCCAGUGCCUCACAUUUGUUAGGCAAAUGCUCUACUACUGAGCCACAACCCCAGCCCCCCUCAAAUAAUUUUUUAUGUAUAACUCUUUUCUCUUACUUUGAAGUAUUGUUUCCCAAUGACAUCAACAUAAUUAUUUAUUUGCUUUUCUCUAAUAGAUACAUAUAUGUGUAUAAAUGUGUGUGUAUGUACAUAAAACAGCAGAAAAUACUUACCAAAUGUAGUUUAAGACUUCUCUGUGGAUUUUUUUUUUUUUUGCUCUUAGAACAUUUGAUAAAAUUGCUGUUUCUUAAAAUAAUUCUUCUCUAUGUGUUUAUGCUAUCAACUUUAUAUACAAAUAGGCUAAUUAAUUUCUCAUUUUGACUUUAAGAACUGCUUCUCUUCUUUUUGAUUUAAUUUUGUCUUUAAAUUAUGUAAAAUAUUUUGUUAACUUCAGAGUCAAAACUACAAACAUUGAGAAGUCUAUUUUGCCUCCCUGUGUCCUCCCUCUUGUUAUUUUACUCCCCUUAGGGGCAAUGCUCUUAUCCUUCCAUUAUUUAUUUUUGAAAACAAGUUGAUGGCUUGUGUGUAUCACAUCUCCUCUUUUACACAAUAGGUAGCAUACUAUGAACAUUUUGCUGCAUCUUACUUUUUUGUGUCAUUUUAUUAACAUAUCUUAGAAAUCAUAGCACUGUAUAGAUAUCGCAUUUUUUAAAAAAUAAAGUAUUUUUCACUCUUUAAAAAUCAAAUCAUUUAUAUUUUAAAAAGCGAAUGAGGGUCUGGAGCAAAAGAGUGCUUGCCUGGCAAUCCUCAACACUGCAUAUAAAUAAAUAAAUAAAUAUCCAUUGACAAAUAAAAAUUAUUUUUUAAAAAAAGCAAAAGAGUGAUCUUUUUCAGGGAUGGAGACAGGGCAGUAAGUGGGAGUGGGUGGCCUGGAAUGCCUGCCAGGGUAUUAAUGAUUAAUUUUGAGUGCUUAUUAUUCUCUUCCCUAUACUUUGCUGAGUUUUAAGGAUAUCUAAGAAUCUAAAAAAAAUUCUAAACAUAACUGCACACCAAGACAACAAAGGAGAACUCUUUGGGAUCACUGAAAUAUGAAUAUCAUAUUUGAUAUGUGAUGGGUUAAAGAGGGAAAUUUCAGGUGAGGAUGUGCAAAGGAAGGCUUUGUUGAAGGUGAAACUGGAUAUAAAGAGAGAACCCUAAAUAGUCCAUGAAGGCAGGCUAUCAGAAAUUGCUGAAGUAAGGGAAAAAAAAAACAAAUCCUCCCAAAAUUUGGUUGACUUAGCCAAUAAUUGUCAUUUGAGUAUGGUUGCUUUUUUUUUUUUUUUUUAAUUUGGGGGUGGUGUUGGAGAUUGAACCAGGGCCUCACGCAUGUUAGGCAAGCUCUCUACCACUGAGCCACAUCCCCAGCCCUAGAGUUACUCUUUGUUAUCAUUGCCAUUCUUGUUCCCUGCAAUAGCAAGACAGAUUGCUGUGGAAGGCGAUACAAUUUUCCUUAUAGAAUCAGCCUAUAAUAUUUUAAUUUUUGAGGUCAAAUAUGAAAACCUCACUUAAUAUCCUUUUGUAUCUCCUCUAGCAUUCUCAAAUGCUCUUUUCUUGCUUUAUCUUUUCCUUCAUUGUCUCAAUACGUUUAAACAAAUUAUUUCAUUUAUUUAUAUAUUGUGCCCAUGGAUGAUUGAAUCCCACAUUGUAACACACAUUCUAGAAAAGUAACAGUCUUAAUUUUGUUCAACACUACAUUCCAGUUGCCAGGAACAGAUUCUGUUGGUGCUUUAAAAAAUUCAUUGGGUGAAUACUAGUGGCAAUAAAGGGAAUGUGUAACCAUGGAGUUCUGCAUUAAUAUACAUACAUGAUUCCCUUAUACAUUCAUCUCAUCACUUUCUACCCCAGAACUCUGUCAGGAUUCAGUUUUAUUGUUAGUAAUGCAGGCUCAAACUCAACUGACAAUGAGACUAUAAACCAGUGAAAGGAUAUAAAUGAUAGGGAUGUAAAGGAAAUUCAAUAUAUGUAUAUUUUCCCAAUAGGUACAUGCUUAUGAGCUAGUUUUAUAAAAGAGCAAAAACAGUUGUUUUACAUUUACUUAACAUUUACCAUUUCCAGAACUUUUAAUUAUUUUGCAUUCAUUCAUAUUUGCAUCUGUUGUCAUUUUACUUCUGCCUGAAAAUUUUCCUCUAACAUUUUUUGUAGUUUGUGACUCUCAGAUAUUGUCUGAAAAUGCCCGCAUUUUGUCUUCUUUUGUUCCCCAUCAAUCAAAUAUGUUUGGAAGGAUCAAGUGUAUUAUAAAGUUAACUCAGUUAAUAAUUGGGAGAUUGAAUUUUUUAACUUUUUAUUGUACAAACUUUAUCUAAUCACAGAAUUUCAUUGCUCUAUUGAAAAAUAUCUAAACAUUUACUUAAUAAUCAUUUCUGAAUUUUACCUUCAUUUCUGAAAGACAUUUUCAGUGGGUAUUGUAUUCUGGAUAGCCUUUUGGAGGUACAGCAGCACUUUAAAGAUCAUUCCAUUCCCUUCUGGUUUGCAUAGUUUUUCAUGAAAAAUCUGUUGUAAGCCUUAACAGUGUUCCUCUGAACAUAAUCUGGGCACUCCUAAAAAUUUUAUCUUCAUCACUGAUUUUUAGCAAUUUUAUUAUGAUAUGCCUUGUUUUUCUGUUUUUGGCUUUGUUUGUUUGUUUAGUUUUUUCUGAUUGGGGCUUGUUGAACUUAGAGUCUAUAUAGGUUUAUACUCUCAAUCAAUUGUGAAAAAAUUUGAUCAUUUAUUUUUUAUUUUUAUUUUGGUAGUGGGGAUUGAACUCAGGGGCACUCAACCACUGAGCCACAUUCCCAGCCAUAUUUUGGAAAUCUGCAGGGAAGCCUCACUUUUUUUCUGAGUAUUGGUCUUAGCAUGACUGAGGAAAACUACAUAAAGGUAAAGAAAUCACCACUGGUGGGCAGUAGCUGAGCAAUCCCUGGAACUGAGAAUCCUCCAUAUACCUAGGAGCCAGAAUAGAGAGACACCAUAAUGUAUAGUACUUUAGAAGAAUCCUCAAAAAGUCAUGCCUUCGUAGUAGAACUAAAUUAACCCAGCAGGGUUAACCUUAGAGGCCAUUUGGAUCUGCCCUAAUAAUGCAUUUUAAAAGCCUGAGAAUAAUCAAAGAACUCAACUUCCUCUUUUCUAUUACACUGCCCCCCAAAUUCUAGUCAUCCCAGCAUUCCCAAACUCAAAUCAACAAGACUUUACUACUUUCAUUUGGUUUUCCCUCCAUGUGCUAUAGCCCAGAAACUGACUUCAGGCAGCAUUAGUUGGAAACCAUAGUCCUAUCAUCUCUAUUGUCCAGUGCCUGAAAAGAGUUGUUUCAUAUGUUUUGCCUAUUUUUUAAAGUUGUUUAUAGGAGGAAAGCAAUUCAUUUAGCAGUUAAUUCUUCAUAAGCAGAAGUCCUACCAACAGCAAAACAACUCGUUAAAGAUAGUGGUAGUAUGAUUCAUUUUUCAAUGGUCAGAAGUAAUGUGUAGAAGAAUUGAGGGGAUUUUGUGGAAAGAUAUGGGGCUGUUGAGAGCUGUGAACUUGUAAACUACCAUCUUGCAUUUGAAACAGUGUAGAUGAUGCAGCAUCUACUUUUCUAAUGCUAAUCACUGGGAGGGAAUCUAUAAUUUUCCAUGAAAUAAAUUGCAAGUACUACUAUCUAUGGGCUUGGAUCUGCUACUGUCUGUAGAAUGUUCACCCUAGAGGCUUUUUGUGUAGAGAAGUAGGGGGAAGGUUGCUUUAGAAGGAGGCUGACAGAUCUUUCUCCUUGAGCCUUGGAUUCUAUAUCUAUGUUAUGGUCUGAUGUCUCACCUUUACUCCCUAACUCUGAUUCUGAUUAUUCCCCACACACUUUCCCAAUCACACACACUUUGUGAAACCAUUUACUCUCUCUUUUUAAUGACUGAGCCCUUCACUAUUUCACCAGCUCCUGUAUGUAGACUUCGGUGUGUGUCAAAUUUGGAAUGGCAUGUCUGCCCCAUACAGGAAAGAGCCUAAUAUCAUUGUAUAUAAAGUUCCUUCACUGGAUACCCAUAGGCUGAAGGGGGCCUCACAUUUCAAAAUUCUAUUCCUAUGAAUUUAGUCUGUCCAAGGAGACAUUAGGAACAUAUUUAUAGAGGACCCUAAAGAAUAGGAAGCCAACCAGUGCACAUUCUGCAAAGAGGAGGGUCAUUGGAGAAGGAAAUGUCCCUGAUAUUUCCAAGAGAAGCCAUGUAUUGUCAGCCAGACCCUGACCUUUCCUGGCAGAUGGCACCACUGGUAGAGGAAAGCUAAAAGAGCCAAGAGGCUUCACACAUGUCCCUAAGAGUGAUCUUUGAAGAAUCUCGGGUGACUCUUACAAGUAGAUAGGAACAGGGUCAGUUUUGAUCAACGUGGUCCUAAACAUCUGGCAGGAGACUACAGCCUAAGCAUAGUCCUACAUAGACAUUUAAAAGGAAAAAAAAGUGUUUUUAAAAAAAUGUAACUUAAACAUACAUUUGUGUCAGCCCUACUUAAAGUAAGUAAAGCUGGAGGCUAUAGAGGAAGGGUUCUUGUGUGGAAGUGCACAAUAAUAAUGAUCAUAAAGAAUUCUAAGGUUGCAAGUUUGUCCUGAGUUAAUUUGAGCCUGAUCUCAUAGACCUACAAAUCUUCCUAACCUCCUACAUUGAUAAACUUGAUCUGUUUCCCACUGAUAUGAUUAUGAGUUAACUGUUUCAUGGUUUUCAGAGACUGGCUGAAAUGCUAAUUGCUUUUGUGCUAAUUAGUUACAAAAAAGUAAUGCUUUGCUAUCUUGUUUAUUAUUGUCUUAGCAUGAACCUUGCCCUAUGUAUGCUUUGCAAAGUUACCUGACAUCUGCUUCUGUGGACCUCUGGACUUCUCUGAUGCUGAAUACCCUUAAUUGUCCAAGCCACAUCUGAUAGAGAACAAGGACUUUGGGUUACUUCCCCAAACUUCACCUUCUUUCAGCAGAAAGCAGCUUGGAGAUGUCAUUGCCCAUUUUUCCAUAGAAAUGGAAUGUAGAAAUUGACAGUGGGAGAAUAUAACAGUUGUCUACUUUAUGCUUUGAAUAUAUAUAACCCUUGCUGCUCUGCCACUACAACUUACUUUUAAAUGGAUGUUUCUUUCUUUUCUUCUCUCCCUGCUCUCCCUAAUCUCUCCCCCUCCCUAAUUUCAGGGGAAACAGGAUUACCUCCCUUCCCCAUUUUAGUCAGAUUUAUGUAUCCUUGAGUAUACACCCAUCAUAGGAACAAAGUAAUCGAGACAUUGGGUAUGGUACCAGAAGAUCUCAGAAAUGACUAUGUCCCAAAUUAACAAGUGAAUUACAACUCCAACAGAGAACAUGUGCAAUGUAGCCUUGAAUCCCCUCUUAAAAUCCCCCUGUUCCUACUGACUGGCAGAAUCACAGCCUCCAGGACAGGAGUCUUCUGUGUUUCUCCUUGGCUAGCAAAGCAGUAAACCUUCUUUUUCAUUUUUCUAAAAAAAAAUUACUCAUAAAUUUAUCCCAAAUAAGAAUUGCAUCUCUCAGAACUUAAUGUCCAGAUAGACAACCCCAUCAUGUUCUCAAAGUUUCUCAAAGACGAUUUUGGCUCAAGAUUAUUAUCUCUUCUGAGAGUGACAAUAUCAAUCAGCGUUUCUCAGCCUUAGCAUCUCAGCAGUUAGCAUCUAGGGCUGGAUAAUUCUUUGUUGUUUGGACCAUUCUACGAAUGUUUAGCAGCAUCCUUGGCCUCUGCCCACUGGAUGUCAGUAGCACUCUCCUCCCAAUUUUGACAACCACAGAUGUCUCCAGAUACUGCCAGAUGUCUCCUGGAGGUACAAAAUUGCCCUGGUUGAGAGUCACUGGUAUAGAUGCAACAUGGUGUGUCACACUCCAGGGCACCACAGAAGUGCAGCUUGGGAACUAAAGCUGGAGAAACCCAGGUCAGUCUAUAGUGUCUGCCCUGUGUACAGUGUGCGCUGGGAAGGCAUAGACCUUGGAUUGCAAACUACUAGAUACAAGUCUGCCUCUGUAGAUUUGGAAUAAGGGUCUCCACUUCUCUGCUCAAUUUAUUUAUUUGAAAAUGAGGAAUGGUGUUGUUUAUGCCACACAACACUGCUGUAGUGAGAACAAAGUGAGGUUUUAUAUAUACAGGAAUACCUAUACACAAACACAUACUUCUUCCAUAUAAGGAUACAAUAUGCAUGGAUUUAAUAAUGAUUCAUAGAUAAGUGUACUUAAUUUGCCAGUAUAAUUAAAAUAGCAGUAUAGAAAAAAAUAUAUCUUCUAAUUUGUAAUGUAAUGUGUAAUCCCUCCUGUGGUUUGUGAUAUUGUUCUCUGCUAGAAGGCUUAAUAGGGGAUGUCUAACUAUAAAAAAUAAAAAAAGAAAAAGAGUGCCUUUUUAGCAAUUAAAGUCAUAACUAAAUUAGAAUACAAAGAGUAAGAUUUUUAUAUUUGAUUGUUAAUUUUGCAUUUAGUAAUCUCUCCAGGCUGCACAAGAACUUAAAUGUCUUGUCGAGAGAUAGUGGAUUUUCAUUCUCCUGGGAUGUCAUUAUAAUGAACCUGGUAAAUAAUUCAGGAACAUAUUAGAGGCCAAUGGAUGGGCAGCACCUGGUGCCAUAUUGUUCAUGCCUAAGCACACAGAAUCUAAGAUGGCAUUCUACACCUGUCACUAUUAUUCUGGCUUAAACACGGGUCCUAUGCUCAGUGACUAUAGAAAUAAUAGUUGUUAAUAUUUUUAUCCCAUUUUCCUCCACAAUCAAAGAAUAUGGUGCUAUGCGGUUUCAAAAACACAAAGCAGAAGUGGCAUCCUCUGAAUUGCUUCAGUCAAAUUUCAAAUCUAUUUUCUCUAUUAAGGGAUAGGUUGCUUUAAAAAUUAGUAGAAAAGAUUGCUUUUCUACUGAAAGAUUUAUUUUCUAGUAGAAAAGUUUGCUUUUCUACUGGUCUUAAUUUGAGCCUUUUGGCCUUUCUGCCUUUGCUGUUCAAGGUUGAGCUUCUUUUUAGAUCACACUAUUUAUAUUGAAGGCAUCUUCUGAGAAAAAUGAUACCAUCCUCGGCCACUCAUUUAGAAGGAAUUUCUACUUCUAAGUUCUUCUUCCUAUUAUUACCUGAGUAGCCAACCUAAACUCUGUCAGUAUAUAUUUUUAAAAACAAGCAAACAAACUGGGCAUGGUAGCAUAUACCUAUAAUCCCGUGGCUCAGGAGGCCAAGGCAGGAGGAUUGCAGGUUCAAGGCCAGCCUCAGCAAUUUAGCAAGGCCCUAAGCAACUUGGUGAAACUCUGUCUUAAAAUAAAAAAUAAAAAGGGCUGGGGAUGUGACCCAAUAGUGCUUAACUACUAGAUUCAAUUCCUGGCACCAAUGAACAAACAAACAACAAACAAACAAACAAAAACAAGCAAACAAGACCUCUCAAAAACCCCCAUUCACUGGACAUAGAAUGUUCUUCCACACUCUGAGAGAACAAGAGGUAGAGUGACAGAUCAUGUAUGGAGACAGCAUGGGCACCAAGCCCAGUACCACCGAGGAUCAGACGGAGAUUAAACCAGAAGUUACAUGGGAAAAUCUUAGAAGAGCAGGAGGUUUCCUAGGAGGGAAGGAAAAACAAUGUGUCUUACACAUCUAAUGUAAAGUUUUUACAGUAAUGGGCCAUGAAAGGAAUCUGAAGACAGACUACAGAACUUUUUACCUAGAAAUUGCUAGAUGUGCUUUAUCUUUGUUUUUAAAGUAUUAUUUAUAAUAAUGGUUUAAAAUUAUACAAAAGUACUUUAUAUCUUUAACCUUUGUAAUAUAUAAGUACAUAAUUAUACAGUAAAAUAUAAUUGCAUAUGAUAAAAUAAAAAAUAUUUUAAAAAUUUGUGUUUGUGCUUGUUAACACAGUUGCUUUCCUUUCUUCAAGGCCCUGCGUGAAUGUAUUUGGAACAGUGACCGCCCUCUGGUGGUGAGCCAGAAUCAUCACUUUUUGUGACCUAACGGUUACCAAGAUGCCCACUCUUGGCACACAUAGUACACUCUAGCAGCAGGGGACCCAUUGAAGGAUGUCUGAUGUUGGAGUAUGUCUGAUGAAGGAGCCUAAUGAAGUAAGCCUUUGCUUCCAUCCGAAUUUGUUAUUUAUUCCGGAUUUCAGCCAGAAGCCAGCUCCAAAAUGGGCUUCUGAAGAAAAGAGUGGAGUUGCUUUUGUGUUUCAAAGGUCUGCCUCCCUUACCAGUGGAUGACUAAGACUGUGAAUAAGUACACACCAAGAGGGCAUGUGGUGACAUGGAGCCUGAAAUAAACUGCUCUGAAUUUUGUGACAGUUUUCCUGGCCAGGAGCUGGAUCAGAGACCCCUUCAUGAUCUCUGCAGGACAA